rnacentral:rRNA from 1 species
UACGUAGGGUGCAAGCGUUGUCCGGAAUUAUUGGGCGUAAAGAGCGUGUAGGCGGCCCGGUUAGUCCGCUGUGAAAGUCCAGGGCUCAACCCCUGGAAUGCCGGUGGAUACUGUCGGGCUAGAGUCCGGAAAGGGGCGAGUGGAAUUCCUGGUGUAGCGGUGAAAAUGCGCAGAUAUCAGGAGGAACACCAAUGGCGAAGGCAGCUCGCUGGGACGUGACUGACGCUGAGACGCGAAAGCGUGGGGAGCAAACAGG